CCCCUCAGGGCGGGUCCCGCGGGACCCCCGGUGGGGAUUCCGCGGUGCCCGGCCCGGCCCUUCCCGCUCCCCUUCUUCCCGCACGGCCCCAGGACCCCUCGGCAUCCCGCGACCUUCCCCGAGCCAAACAUCCGCCUGGGUCGCCGGCGGUAACGUGCAGAGCGCUGUGGAGUGGAAACGAGAGCAUCCUCCCUCCCCGUGGCUCCACAUGCACCGCGGUGCGGGGUACACGGACAUCGGAGUUUCCUGUGGGAAUAGUCCCUCAAAAAUCCUCCGUGCGAUGGCACGUGGCCAGGCAACAGCCGUGGAGAACACCGCUUUGUCACAGCUGGUGACAGAAUCGCUGAGCUGUUCCUGACUCGAGACAGUGAAUGCGUGGGGUUGGAGUUCAGGAUGCUACCCUGCCCAAAAGGACUUACCCAAGUAGCAGCCAUGCAGUGCAAAGCCCAUUUCUUUCCUGAGAAGUAAAGACCAGCAGCAACAGCUCUGACAGCCCUUGGGUUCAGUCCGUGUGCUGGCUACGCAAUAUUUUUUUUGCUUUCCAUUCAAAAAUUGUGAGACUGCGUCUUCCUUAUGCUGCCCUUGUAGGCUCACUGACAGAAAAUGUGUAUUUGUCCACUUCCUUGCUUUUCCCUCAUGGAUUUUACAUCAUUUGAUACUUGAUUUCCACACCCCACCCCCCCCNNNNNNNNNNNNNNNNNNNNAGAUAAGGAAGAUUUAUUUUACAUGACUUAUUCAAGUCUUAUUAAAAAAAAAAAAUGUUGUUCCCCUUUUUUCUUAUUUCCAUGGUUUCAUUCCCCAUUCCCAGACACUGUUAGAUAAUGCCUCAAGCUUGGUGUUGGGAAACUCAUCCAGAAGCAGCUGGAUCCAUCCCUUCUCCCUCAGUCAGCAUAAAAGGAAAGCACCUGAGAUGUUCCAGCAGAGCAGUGCUAGAGAAAAUCCCUCUGUCCAGCAAUCAGACAACCAGGACUGGAGUCAGGACAAGUAAAAUAACAAGAACUGAUAGUAAAUCUCCUUGUCAGAGCUCAGAUAUUGGAUACAACCCAAGCAACAUGCACAAAUGGUGUGAUUUUACAGGAAUAUCCAGCUCAGAACCCCCUUGGUUCCCAUCCUUGCCAGCCUGGAGCUGCCCCACCAGCCUGGAACCCUUUGUGCCUGCGAGGUGUGAGCCUUGCAGGCAGCCAGCAAGGCAGAUGGCUGGGAAGUUCCCUUUUCUACAAAGAAUUUAUAAAUUUAGGAUUUUUUCAGAACAACCCUGAGUUGCAAUUUUCCGCUGUCUCCUAUUAAACACAAAUGCUUUGUCUUACAAGAUGCCCUGGUUUUUUUCUGUCCUGAUGCUCGCUGUGAGUGAAAGGCCUUUCCCUCAACCCUCCCUGACGUUUCUGUUCUGAUUCACCCUGUUUAUACCCGAGCAAAUGAUACCCAAAGCUAUAAUUAGAAAGCAAGCACUGAAACAUUCCACAGGAGCACAUUUGUUGCGUGUAGUAGCUGAGGGACUCAAUGACACAAAAUUGUGCUUCAGGUAAGCAAAAAAAAAAGACAAAAAACCCAAUUAUUUUCUGCUGGCAUGGAGUGUUUUUGUGCUGCAGCAGAAUUACCUCAGCUUGAGUGCAAAGAUUACAUCUAGUUAGUGAUGUCUAAGUGCAGAUCUUGCUCUUAUGUAAUUCUCUUUACCCUGGUAACUCCUCACUCUCAGGCAGAGCGCCGGCUCCCAUUAGGAAAUUCAUCCUCAGCUUAUCCAGGAGCAGGGAUGUACGUGCUCACCAGAUGGUUCUUUCUCACCAGCUGAACUUUGGAUAUGCAGAGCUCCCUACUCAAGCAGCUCCUCAGAUCCUGCUCUUGCAUUGCUUUAUCCUGUGUUUUCAGGAGCAAAGGCUUGCAAAACUUAGAUAACAGGUGAGGAAUAGAAAAGCACAAAAGUCCAAAGGAAGCACAGGUUUUGGAUUGAGAACAGGAUGUUUUAAAUGGUUCACUGAUUUAUUACCAGAUUUCCAUUCUCUGAGUCAGCCUGAGCCUUCAAACCCAGUAAAUCCCAUCCUUGGGGCUCCUUUUCUCAUUUUCAUUUGAAUCAUAAAAGUAUUCAACUAUAGCUAGAUCACUAUCCUCCCUAUCCAGGCAAGGAUAAAGUCAGAGGGGGCUAAAUCACAGAACCAUAGAAUGCCUUGGGUUGGAAGAGACAUGAAAGAACAUCCAUGGAGACAGCAAGAGACCCCUCACUGCUCUCCAAGUAACCAGAGUGUGUGGGGUGAUUGUUUCAGGGACAAAACAGCCAGGAAAGAGAGAGAAUAAAUAAAACUAGAUUUGGAAAUUUGGGCA
ensembl:lncRNA